rfam:Felis catus isolate Cinnamon breed Abyssinian chromosome A3, whole genome shotgun sequence.
GCACAGGCCCUCCUCAGGGCCAUCCAUGCCCACCACUAGGUCUUUU